rnacentral:rRNA from 1 species
UACGUAGGGUGCGAGCGUUGUCCGGAAUUAUUGGGCGUAAAGAGCUUGUAGGCGGUUUGUCGCGUCUGCCGUGAAAAUCCGAGGCUCAACCUCGGACUUGCGGUGGGUACGGGCAGACUAGAGUGUGGUAGGGGAGACUGGAAUUCCUGGUGUAGCGGUGAAAUGCGCAGAUAUCAGGAGGAACACCGAUGGCGAAGGCAGGUCUCUGGGCCACUACUGACGCUGAGACACGAAAGCCAGGGGAGCGAACGGG